rnacentral:lncRNA from 1 species
GCGGCGGAGAGGCGGCCAGCGGCGGCGCGGCGGAGAGGCGGAUAGCGGCGGAGAGGCGGACAGCGGCGGCGCGGCGGAGAGACGGACAGCGGCGGAGAGGCGGACAGCGGCGGAGAGGCGGACAGCGGCGGCGCGGCGGAGAGACGGACAGCGGCGGAGAGGCGGACAGCGGCGGCGCGGCGGAGAGACGGAUAGCGGCGGAGAGGCGGACAGCGGCGGCGCGGCGGAGAGGCGGACAGCGGCGGAGAGGCGGACAGCGGCGGCGCGGCGGAGAGACGGACAGCGGCGGAGAGGCAGACAGCGGCGGCGAGGCGCGCAGCGGCGGCGCAGGCGCGGAGAGGCGCUGGCGCCGGCUCUGGCGCGGAGAGGUGCAGGCCCAGGCUCCACUCCCCAGCUGUGAAAGGGUAAGAACCGAGGGUGGCUGAGACUCGGGGUUGUUCAGGGCGGGGUGGGCUCUGGACCCAGCAGGCCCGGCACCCAGGUCAGGGCUCCAGGGGAGGCCAGGUGGGCGAAGGCCAAGAAGGGGCUGGGGCUGGUCAGGAAGGGCUCCUGGUGACCAGAGCACUUUGCGUGAGCCAGCGUGGGAGGAAGGUGGGCUAGAUGAGCCAGGGAGGCGCCGGGAGGGGCCUUGGCAGAGGCGACCCCCUCCGUCACCCCCAGGCCACUGAACCCUGGGUAGCGAGAACCGACAGGGGAGGCUGCAGACAGAGGAGUGGAGGCUCCCCGGCUUUGGGGGCUCUGAGUAGAAGCAUCUAGGGGGUCCCUCAAGAGGCCCCCAAACGCUUCCCCAUGGUGAGAAAAGAAGGCGCAGAGAGGGGCACGGCGCCGGCGCAGAGGGGCACACAGCGAGAUUUGCUGUGAGUUCUUUUAUUGCCCCAAGUGUACCUCAUCUUGGUAGAUUUCUAUUGGCUUUAAAAAUGUGUGUGUUUUGCUGUUGGGGAGUGGGGUGUUAUACGGAUGUCAGAUUUUGCUGGUUGACUGUUCAGAUCUUUUGUAAAUCCUUGCUCCUUUUCUGCCUAGUUUCACUCUGUCACUUACACUAGAGUGCGGUGGCACGAACAUGACUCACUGCAGCCUUGACUUCCUAGGGUCAAGUACUCCCCCUGGCUUAAUCUCCUGAGUAGCUGGUACUAUAGGUGUGUGCCGCCACACCUGGCUAAAUUUAAAAUUUUUUGGAGAGAUGAGGCCUUGCUAUGUUGCCCAGGCUCGAACUCCUGGCCUCAAGCUAUCCUUUGUUUUUGCCUCCCAGAGUUCUGGGAUUACAGGCAUGAGCCACUGUGCCCGGCCUCUGCCUAGUUUUAACAGUUGCUAAGAGGAGGAUGUUGAAGUAGAUGUCUUCUUGGUGGGUUAAUCCUUUUGUCAUUAAGCAGUUGUUAUGGUCACUUCCUUUUCACCCCAUUGGUGAAGGAGGGGUCCCUGCCCUAAAGUGUAGGAGAUGGCCGAACAUGACACCUGGCGUGGAUGGAUGAGAUUGACAGCAGUGUUUUAGUCGCAUAUACCCACAGCUCGGAGGAGGACACUGCAUGCCACACAGGGUUUUCUGCCUCCUGCUAAGCCAAUUUAUACAUUCCAAGAAAAUCUUCCAUUUCAUCCAGGUGAAACGGAACCUACUGGAAUGAAGCUGGCCUCCCAUGGAAUGAAGCUGGCCUCCCGUCUCCUUGAUUUGAAGCAGCUUCUCCACGUUGGUUAUUAUGCCAUUUUUCUAAAUCUAACAUUUUAAAAUUUGUGCCUUUUCUUUCUCUUUUGCUUGACUUCUCAGAGGUUUUUUUAACGGUCUUUUCAAAGAAGUGGUUUUGGGUUUUAUUUAUCAAGUCUACUUUUAUUAUGGCUGUUUUAAAAUUAAAUACAUUUAUUUCUUGUUUCCCUUAAAAAAGCUUC